AUUGAACGCUGGCGGCAGGCCUAACACAUGCAAGUCGCACGAGUGGCGGACGGGUGAGUAAUGUCUGGGAAACUGCCCGAUGGAGGGGGAUAACUACUGGAAACGGUAGCUAAUACCGCAUACUAUCGGGUGUGCCCGAAGGGGUUUAGCUAGUAGGUGGGGGAAAGGCUCACCUAGGCGACAAUCCCUAUCUGGUCUGAGAGGAUGACCAGCCACACUGGAACUGAGCCACGGUCCAGACUCCUACGGGAGGCAGCAGUGGGGAAUAUUGCACAAUGGGCGCAAGCCUGAUGCAGCCAUGCCGCGUGUAUGAAGAAGGCCUUCGGGUUGUAAAGUACUUUCAGCGGGGAGGCGUUACCCGCAGAAGAAGCACCGGCUAACUCCGUGCCAGCAGCCGCGGUAAUAC
rnacentral:rRNA from 1 species